UAAAAGAAUAAUUAUUAUUCUUUUGUCCGUUUAAUCAAUAAAAUAUCUCCGAUUGUGUCCAUUAAAAUUAAAUAUUAGAAUUUUUUCGUUAUGCAUUAUUCAGUUUUCCCCUCUUUGAUACGUUUUAAAUUGGAUAAUUAAGGAUGGCAAAUUUUGUUUCGAAUUUAUUUAAAAAUUAAUAAUAAAUUGUAUGACUUGCCGGGAAUUCUUGUUUUUGUGCAUUGAAAUCAAUAUCAUGUGUCACGAUGCAAAAUCAGGUCACUGAAUCAACUUCACACAGGCUUACCAAUUCACUCUUGACAGUUUUAUGGAACAUUGCCCAAAUCGAAAUUCGUGAUUUUCAUUAAUACAUUUUUUUUUACGUUUAUGAAUGAUUUAAGUCGACUAGUAUCUAUAAGAUUUUCUAUUUACAUAUGCGGUUGCGUGGCCACGUUCGCCAGCGUAUCUUUCAGCUUUUUUUUUAAUAAAUAUUGUUAUCUUGUCAGAACUCUAAUUAAGAAAGAAAAAAAAAGAUUAAGCGAAAUCCGUCGAGGGGGAAAAAUAUCUUCCCAACAGAAGAUAGAUUUAGUUGGAAAGCUAAAGCUGGCUUAACAGGAAGACAAGCAACUCAUGCGAGGUCAACAUUUCGACCAGGAACGUGUAGCAUGUCGGGACACAAAGGGGUGGAGGCCGUACACGGCACUCUGAGUUGUUAUGCAUUUUAAUGUUUGCGGCGAAAUGCUCUGAACUUUAUCCGCAGUAACGAUACCCGAGGCAGGACGCAAGUAGUCGACUGACCGGCCAAAAAUCGUGACCACUGUGGUGUGGUCGACAUCACGCUACCCAUCAUCCUCCCUAUAACCUCUAAUAACAACGGGCUCCGCCCCGGGACGGGUCGGCGGAGGUCAGGUCACUAACCGAAUGGUUCCCUCCAAACCAAUCGUUUAUACUUUACUACAGCUUCUCUAUAAACCCAUUUCGUUAUUUGCUUCCAUUUGCAUAUUCGUGUAAUUUACGAGUGAGAUGCCCUUCUAUCUAGAGAUAGGAAGUUUUCCCAUGACCUCUUUUCUCGCUUCACGAUAUCUCCUACUAAAGAGUGCAACAUAUAUAUAUAUAUAUAAUACGUAGAGGAUUAUCUUCCGUGUCCAUUUAUCUUCCCUCUGGGAUUAAUCGAAUAGUUAGUUUUUUACAGAAAUUACACUUCGACAAUACUAUAUAUUCUUCAUCUCGCUUCAUUGAGAUUGUAGAAAGAUAGAAAUCUUGUAUUGGAAAGAUGCUCAUUUUCAUGCGAUCCUUCGAAGAUUGUUUAGAUUUUUUUUGAGGCGUAUGUUAGAGAGUACGAAUUCUUAACGAUGUAAUAUGUUACCAGAUUUAAAUCGAUUAGAAACAUGAUUACGCAGUUUGCUUAGUGACCUUGAACAUUUCUUUGCCACCUGUCGUCUUAAUAACCUUGAGGCUGUAGCCAGUAGUAACUUUAAAAAAUCCCUACAGGCAUUUCUGCCAUUCUCACGCCGGAUCAACAUAAGAAAAGGAGAUAGAAAUAAUUUGGAUUAGAAUCACAACCGAAAAAACCUGCUCCUUUAAUCAAUUCAUUGAGCCUUGACUGUUUAUGGAUUAUUUAUUUUUAUUGUUUAGCCUUUCUUCACCCAUAUUUUCAAGGAAAAUGCCCAGAAACCAUUUACGGUUAUCAGUUUAAUUGAAACGACAGCAAAAGCAAAUAUAAAGUGCAUUAAUGUAUAUUUAUAACUUUAUUUUACUUCUUGUUUAUUAUAUAGGCUAUAUAUUAAUGGACAGCUAUGUAUUUUUAAUGUAAACAAUAUCGAUUAUGUCAAUUCGUCAAAAGUAAUUAUUAAAGCGAAAAAAAUCGAAAUUUUUUAAAUGCC
rnacentral:lncRNA from 1 species